UACAGAGGUCCCAAGCGUUGUUCGGAUUCACUGGGCGUAAAGGGUGCGUAGGUGGCCAGGUAAGUUCGGUGUGAAAGCUCGGAGCUUAGCUCCGAAAUGGCAUUGAAUACUAUCUGGCUGGAGGGUCGGAGGGGAGACUGGAAUUCGUCGGUGUAGCAGUGAAAUGCGUAGAUAUCGAGAGGAACACCAGUGGCGAAGGCGAGUCUCUGGACGA
rnacentral:rRNA from 1 species